UACGGUAUUUGACAAACACUUUUCCGAGAGAAAAGAGAGGAAAACAGACGCCUGCGCACGAAAAUUAUAAUUUAAACAAUUAACAACAAAUUAGCAUAUGUAUUCCACUUUGUGUUCACUCAAAACCAGAGAAUGGCAGGCAAAAUUUUGGAAUUAUCCAUUGAAAACGCACUGAAAUGCACGUACAACACAGCAAAUGAAUGUUUACAGCUUGGCACAGCGCAAUUUACUGAUAUCGCGAUAUGUGGGUACAUAAAAAGCCUGGAAAUAUGCACAAAUUUGGUUGUGAUGAAAAUUACUGAUAAAAUCAAAACGAUAUCAAUUUCAAUGUAUUGCGAAAAUCAACCAAAAUCAAUUCGGACUUACCUCACUGAAAACAUGAAAAAACUCGAAGAGAAACUCAAUCCAAAAACUUUUUUCUAUGAAAAAAACAAGAUAAUAUGUCAGGAAACAUAUGACUUGGAACUACUACGCUUCGAAAUCACUUUUAACUCAAUAGCUUACGUAGAAAACAUAAAACUCGAUGAUUUAUUGCUGAUAACUGGACGAGCUAAACCGUGGCAUGAUUCUUUAAUGAUAAAACCACAUAAAACAACUCGGAUAUUGUAUGAUCAGGAGGAAUACUUGUUGAAUUGGAUGCAGAAGGUGUCCAAAAUGAAUGUUACUACUUAAACAAUACGUUAUUAUGUAUAAAAUGUAUAAUAUUAAUAAUAUUAAACAAAAAUACGUGCGUAAAAUCAUGUGAAGUGCAUUAAAUGCAUACAUUUGGAUGUAAAAUGACUAUAUUAUCUUUGGAUUGCUUGUAACAUCAAUUAAAACAAUAACAAUUAAUAAUAAAAGGUAAUAAUGGCUGUAAAUCAUGUAAUGAAUGGCUGUGCAUGCGCGGAUUGGUCGUGACAUGACAAAAGUACGUUAAUGCGUCUUUGAUGACUUGAAAUCUUUGAUCAGUGAGGAAGGCUUAAAGAAAUCUCCGAGUUUAAUUGUACUUCUUUGGGACUGCAAAACAAAACAUAAAAUUAAUUAAACAAAUCGUUUUUUAACGUUUUGUGGCUUUAUUUCAAUCACACUUGGACUGUUUUAUACUGUAUUAAUGUUUUAGUGUUUAUUAAAUUGUAAGUAUUAAUAUAUUUGAGUAUUUUAAGAUUUGUCAUAGUCAUGGUCAACGUUUCUAUCUAGGUAACUAGUCACUAACAAAUGCUAACAAAUAUUUUCGCUGAUCUAAACAUUUUGGAAGCGAAUUUUGAGUUUUUCACUUGAAAUACUGCGCGUUUUAAGUUUUAAGCUUAAAAACUUUAAUUAUUUAAUGUACUGCAACAUUGAAAUACUUUUGUAGCAUGUAAUUGCAUCUCUUUUUGAGUUUUUGUUGCUUUUUGUUGGAAAAAAGAUGAGAA